rnacentral:rRNA from 1 species
CGGGACGGGGUGAGUAAUGUCUGGGAAACUGCCUGAUGGAGGGGGAUAACUACUGGAAACGGUAGCUAAUACCGCAUAACGUCGCAAGACCAAAGAGGGGGACCUUCGGGCCUCUUGCCAUCGGAUGUGCCCAGAUGGGAUUAGCUAGUAGGUGGGGUAACGGCUCACCUAGACGACGAUCCCUAGCUGGUCUGAGAGGAUGACCAGCCACACUGGAACUGAGACACGGUCCAG